rnacentral:rRNA from 1 species
GUGUACACAAGAUAGAGCUCUCAUCAAAUUUUCUUAAAUUUUACAGUUAAAUCCACCUUCAAAGAUUAUUUUAUCCAUCUUAUCCGUAUUAUUCCUUUAAAUGUAACCCACCUCUUUCUUUCUUAUAAGCUGCACCUUUACUUGAAGUCAAUGAUUUUCUCAUAAACGAAAAUACUCUCUAAAGUCUAACUGACAACAGCGAUAUACAAACUGAUUUCCAAAAAAAGUAAUGUUCCCUCGUGGUUCAUCGUUUAUAGGGCAGGUUCCUCUAAGGGGCUAUCUUGCCGCCAAAUCCGUUAAAUUUCAUCAAUAUUAUUAUUCCAAAAUAACUUCAUUAAAAGUA